rnacentral:rRNA from 1 species
CCAGACAGCCAGGAUGUUGGCUUAGAAGCAGCCAUCAUUUAAAGAAAGCGUAAUAGCUCACUGGUCGAGUCGGCCUGCGCGGAAGAUGUAACGGGGCUAAACCAUGCACCGAAGCUGCGGCAGCGACGCUAUGCGUUGUUGGGUAGGGGAGCGUUCUGUAAGCCUGUGAAGGUGUACUGUGAGGUAUGCUGGAGGUAUCAGAAGUGCGAAUGCUGACAUAAGUAACGAUAAAGCGGGUGAAAAGCCCGCUCGCCGGAAGACCAAGGGUUCCUGUCCAACGUUAAUCGGGGCAGGGUGAGUCGACCCCUAAGG